UAGGGAAUCUUCCGCAAUGGACGCAAGUCUGACGGAGCAACGCCGCGUGAGUGAAGAAGGUUUUCGGAUCGUAAAACUCUGUUGUUAGAGAAGAACAAGUGCUAGAGUAACUGUUAGCGCCUUGACGGUAUCUAACCAGAAAGCCACGGCUAACUACGUGCCAGCAGCCGCGGUAAUACGUAGGUGGCAAGCGUUGUCCGGAUUUAUUGGGCGUAAAGCGAGCGCAGGCGGUUCCUUAAGUCUGAUGUGAAAGCCCCCGGCUCAACCGGGGAGGGUCAUUGGAAACUGGAAAACUUGAGUGCAGAAGAGGAAAGUGGAAUUCCAUGUGUAGCGGUGAAAUGCGCAGAGAUAUGGAGGAACACCAGUGGCGAAGGCGACUUUCUGGUCUGUAACUGACGCUGAUGUGCGAAAGCGUGGGGAUCAAACAGGAUUAGAUACCCUGGUAGUCCACGCCGUAAACGAUGAGUGCUAAGUGUUAGGGGGUUUCCGCCCCUUAGUGCUGCAGCUAACGCAUUAAGCACUCCGCCUGGGGAGUACGACCGCAAGGUUG
rnacentral:rRNA from 1 species